UACGUAGGGUGCAAGCGUUGUCCGGAAUUAUUGGGCGUAAAGAGCUUGUAGGCGGUUUGUCGCGUCUGCUGUGAAAUUUCGGGGCUCAACCCCGAACUUGCAGUGGGUACGGGCAGACUAGAGUGUGGUAGGGGAGACUGGAAUUCCUGGUGUAGCGGUGAAAUGCGCAGAUAUCAGGAGGAACACCGAUGGCGAAGGCAGGUCUCUGGGACACUACUGACGCUGAGAAGCGAAAGCAUGGGGAGCGAACAGG
rnacentral:rRNA from 1 species